CUUGAUGGAGCCGAGCAGCAGCGGCCGGUCCCCGGGCCGGUCCUGCCCGUACGUCGCCAGCAGCGCCUGCGCCUC
rfam:Streptomyces sp. PVA 94-07 chromosome, whole genome shotgun sequence.